rnacentral:rRNA from 1 species
GAUGAACGCUGGCGGCGUGCCUAAUACAUGCAAGUCGAGCGAACGGACGAGAAGCUUGCUUUUCUGAUGUUAGCGGCGGACGGGUGAGUAACACGUGGAUAACCUACCUAUAAGACUGGGAUAACUUCGGGAAACCGGAGCUAAUACCGGAUAAUAUUUUGAACCGCAUGGUUCAAAAGUGAAAGACGGUCUUGCUGUCACUUAUAGAUGGAUCCGCGCUGCAUUAGCUAGUUGGUAAGGUAACGGCUUACCAAGGCAACGAUGCAUAGCCGACCUGAGAGGGUGAUCGGCCACACUGGAGCUGAGACACGGUCCAGACUCCUACGGGAGGCAGCAGUAGGGAAUCGUCCGCAAUGGGCGAAAGCCUGACGGAGCAACGCCGCGUGAGUGAUGAAGGUCUUCGGAUCGUAAAACUCUGUUAUUAGUGAAGAACAUAUGUGUAAGUAACUGUGCACAUCUUGACGGUACCUAGUCAGAAAGCCACGGCUAACUACGUG